CGUUAUCCGGAUUUAUUGGGCGUAAAGCGUGUGUAGGCGGUUUGUUAAGUCCGAGAUGAAAGGCUAUGGCUCAACCAUAGUUUGUUUCGGAUACUGGCAGACUAGAGUGCAGUAGAGGAGAUUGGAAUUCAUAGUGUAGCGGUGGAAUGCGUAGAUAUUAUGAGGAACAUCAGUGGCGAAGGCGAAUCUCUGGGCUGAUACUGACGCUGAGACACGAAAGCGUGGGGAGCAAAUAGGAUUAGAUACCCUAGUAGUCCACGCCGUAAACGAUGAGCACUAAGUGUCGGGCAACCGGUGCUGAAGUUAACACAUUAAGUGCUCCGCCUGAGUAGUACGGUCGCAAGACUGAAACUCAAAGGAAUUGACGGGCACCCGCACAAGCGGUGGAGCAUGCCGUUUAAUUCGAAAAUACGCGAAAAACCUUACCAAGACUUGACAUCCCCGGCAAAGCUAUAGAAAUAUAGUGGAGGUUACCCGGGUGACAGGUGGUGCAUGGUUGUCGUCAGCUCGUGUCGUGAGAUGUUCGGUUAAGUCCGCUAACGAGCGCAACCCUUGCCAUUAGUUACUAACAUUAAGUUGAGAACUCUAAUGAGACUGCCGGUAUUAAACCGGAGGAAGGUGGGGAUGACGUCAAAUCAUCAUGCCCCUUACGUCUUGGGCAACAGGCGUGCUACAAUGGCUGGUACAAUGAGCUGCAAACCCGCGAGGGGGAGCCAAUCUAAAAAGCCAGUCGUAGUUCGGAUUGAAGUCUGCAACUCGACUUCAUGAAGCUGAAAUCGCUAG
rnacentral:rRNA from 1 species